CUCCAGUUGACUGACUCUGUGUGUUUGCAUAUGUGUCCUGCCUCUCUGCUCCCAGCCGUUAAGAGGCCAGUGUUGAUCAGUGGCUGUCCAGGCCUUUCACAGCCACUGACACGCCGGCAGCACAAUGAUGAUGUCACUGAUUCUACUGCUGGCCACCCUGGGGCUCCUUGUUCAGGAUUCAUCAGGAGAAAUCAUCCUGACUCAGUCUCCUGGAUCUCAGACUGUUGCUCCAGGACAAACUGUCUCCAUCAGGUGUAAAACCAGUUCAGAUGUUUAUGGCAAUCUCCAAUGGUACCUUCAGAAACCUGGAGAAGCUCCUAAACUCCUGAUUUAUGGAGCUGCAAACCGUCAGUCUGGAGUUUCAGAUCGUUUUAGUGGAAGUGGAUAUGGGACUGACUUCACUCUGAGCAUCAGAGCAGUUCAGGCUGAAGAUUCGGGAGUUUAUUACUGCAAGCAGAUUGGCAGCUACCCGUUCACACAGUGAUACAACGUUGUACAAAAACCUCCCUCAGCUGGAGAGGAACUGAUCAGACUCAACAGCUGCACUGAAACUAAAACAACACAAGUUUUACUCAGAACAAAAAAAGUAGUUAAGAAUAAUUGACUUAGAACAUUUAUUAUCUAAAUAUACUGUGUAUAAAACACUAUGUAUAUUUUAGUUAUUCAGGCUUUUAACAUUCUGCUGCACAUCAAAGCUAAACUCUGUUGAAUAAUGAUUUCAGUCCUUUGAUAAAUUUAAUUCAUAAAGUACGAUAACACAUGAACACUAAAACUGUGAAUAUUAUUUAUUUUAAAUCUUACCAUUUUUCAUUGGAUCUUGAACAAAUGUUUUAUUUAAAUAGAUUACAGUGUUUAAUGUCAAUAAUUACUUUCAUGUUUUUUAAUUACUAAUUAUGUAUAUAACAUAAUUCAGCCAUUUUGUGUGUUUUGUAUUCCAGUAAAAACAUGUAUUUUAUAAUUAACAACAAAAAUGAUUAAUGGAGUAUGUAAAUCAGUCACAUUUCAAUUCUGUCCUUUUGUCAUCUCUUUAUUUCUCUUUGUGGUUCUUCAGCAGAAACAGGAUGGAAAUAUUUGCUAGUUUAAAUUUCUAGAUCAAACUCAUUUUAUUUCUCUCUAUGCAGACGAUAUACUGCUAUUUAUUUCAGAUUUAACAAACACUUUUCUGACUUUUGUAGUUUAAUUCAAAUAAUAAUGCAUGUUCUUUGGAGACACCUGAAGUUAUUACAAUAUUACAGUCCUUACUAUAAAGACACUUCAGUAAUGAGAGCUGAUUGGAGGAUUUAUCAUUGAAAUGUUCCUACCAUGGGUUUUGUUCCAAAGGUUUAUUAUUACAGACAAAUCUGUAAUGACUAUAGCAGAAUAAGUUUUACAGUCAUGAAGGCAUUCAUAUCCAUUGUGACAACAGAUGAUGGACUUAUACUACUACCAUCACUGUUUGUACUAAUCAAACAAUAAUGAGGAGUUUUGUCUGAGUUUAUGAACUCUUAAAAUGUUCAGUAAAAAUAGACCUAUAUCAUAUAUUCUGAAACUUUCUUUCUGAAUUCAUCACAGAGAACUUACAGGAUCUUUAUCAGCUUAUUUUUCCUCUGGAUUUAAUAAAGUUACUGUUACUAUGAAGAGAAAAUCAUUCAGACACUUUGAUCAUAAUAAAGAUGAAAACAAGUGAUUUGAUGAACACGUCUUUAUUAUGUGGAAACAGUGAAAUAAUAUUGAAACAUUGCAACAAGCUGGUAAAUAUUGCUAUUGAAAGAUGUGAAAUGAAAGACAGAGAUAGUUCCAGAGUGCAGAGUGAGAGCAGUAGCAGAGUCAAACCAGUAGCAGAGUCCCAGUGAGUCAG